GACGAACGCUGGCGGCGUGCCUAAUACAUGCAAGUAGAACGCACAGUUUAUACCGUAGCUUGCUACACCAUAGACUGUGAGUUGCGAACGGGUGAGUAACGCGUAGGUAACCUGCCUGGUAGCGGGGGAUAACUAUUGGAAACGAUAGCUAAUACCGCAUAAUAUUAAUUAUUGCAUGAUAAUUAAUUGAAAGGUGCAAUUGAACCACUACCAGAUGGACCUGCGUUGUAUUAGCUAGUAGGUGAGGUAACGGCUCACCUAGGCGACGAUACAUAGCCGACCUGAGAGGGUGAUCGGCCACACUGGGACUGAGACACGGCCCAGACUCCUACGGGAGGCAGCAGUAGGGAAUCUUCGGCAAUGGACGAAAGUCUGACCGAGCAACGCCGCGUGAGUGAAGAAGGUUUUCGGAUCGUAAAGCUCUGUUGUAAGAGAAGAACGGGUGUGAGAGUGGAAAGUUCACACUGUGACGGUAUCUUACCAGAAAGGGACGGCUAACUACGUG
rnacentral:rRNA from 1 species